UUAUGUUUUAUGUCACAUUUGUACAUAAUGUACCUGAAUAUUCAGUGAAGGUAGAAGUAGGUUAUAGUUUAUGUUUUAUGUCACAUUUGUACAUAAUGUACCUGAAUAUUCAGUGAAGGUAGAUUAGUUUGUAGUUUAUGUUUUUAUGUCACAUUUUGUACAUAAUGUACCUGAAUAUUUAGUAAAGGUAGAGCAGAUUGUAGUUGGUGUGUGUUUCUGUGUCACAUUUGUAUAUAUAAUGUUCCUCAACAUUCAGUGUGAAGGUAAGAGCAGAUUGUAGUUUGUGUUUUUAUGCCACAUUUGUACAUAAUGUACCUGAAUAUUCAGUAAAAGGUAGAGCGGAUUGUAGUUUAUGUUUUUAUGUCACAUUUGUACAUAAUGCCUGAAUAUUCAGUGAAGGUAGAGCAGAUUGUAGUUUGUGUUUUAUGUCACAUUUGUACAUAAGGUACCUGAAUAUUCAGUGAAAGGUAGAGUAAGAUUUUAGUUUAUGUUUUUAUGUCACAUUUGUACAUAAUGUACCUGAAUAUUCAGUGAAGGUAAAGA